AUUGCUGCAAGCUAUCCCUCGCUGCUAAGCUAUCGCUGCCAACCUAUCUAUUGCUGCAAGCUAUCCCUCGCUGCUAAGCUAUCGCUGCCAACCUCUCUAUUGCUGCAAGCUAUCCCUCGCUGCUAAGCUAUCGCUGCCAACCUCUCUAUUGCUGCAAGCUAUCCCUCGCUGCUAAGCUAUCCCUCACUGCUAAGCUAUCUCUCGCUGCUAAGCUAUCCCUCACUGCUAAGCUAUCCCUCGCUGCUAAGCUAUCCCUCACUACUAAGCUAUCUAUCACUGCUAAUCUAUCGCUGCCAAUCUAUCUAUCACUGCCAAUCUAUCUAUCGCUGCUAAUCUAUCGCUGCUAAUCUAUCGCUGCUAAUCUAUCGCUGCUAAUCUAUCGCUGCCAACCUAUCUACCGCGGCGAAUCUAUCUAUCACUAUCAUUACUAGUUCAAAAUAGAACUAGAGCAUAAAUACACUAAACUUCUUUUGAUAGAUAAUGAUUUUUGGUAACGCUCAUAGCAUUAUAUCAUCUAUAUAGGGUAAAUCAUGGUCCCAUUUGGUCCCAUUUUAACAAAAUGGGACCAAAUGGGACCAGAAUCAGUAAUUUAUAAGAAGAACAUGACCUGGGACUAGAUUUAUAAUAUAAACAGUGUAAAGUGACUAAUUUAAUAAACACUAUAUGGG
rnacentral:sRNA from 1 species